UUUUUUUUUUUUUUUUUUGGGGAGAAUUUGUGUUUGGUUGUCGGAUUUAAUUUGGUUUUUGCUUUCAGGAAAAACUGGGGUUCGAGUUUUGGGGUUUUUGAUGUGGGUUUGGUUUCUUUUUCGUGGGAUUUGUUGUAUUUGUACCCUUUGGGUUUAGGUUUCAUCAGAUGGCGUUUGUAGUGUUUAUAUUGAACUGUCGACUCUUUUAUUCUUUGUAGGUGAAAUUGAAGGUCAGUAAUCUCUUAAAUUGAUGAGGGGGCUACAAUUCGUGCAAGGAAAAACCAGAGAUAUGCUACUAUUUUGGAAGAGAACAGAUAAAGAGAUGGACUUAUCGAAUGAAUGCAGCAGCAAGGAAAUUUGAGCCUUGGCCUGUAGAGAUACAAUUUUGCAAGGAAGCUAGGCAGUUGCUUCUUUAGGGACUUAUGACAUAGCAUUAGAGAUGGGAAAGAAGGUGAUAUGUCAAAGGUCGUACCCAGUGCACAAGGCUCCCGCUUUACGCAGGGUCUGGGAGAGGUGAAUGUCGGCUAGCCUUACCCCCAUUUAUGGAGAGGCUGCUCUCAAGUCUCGAACCCGAGACCUACCGCUCAUGGGCGAAGGCACUUGCCAUCGCACCAAGGGCGACCUCUAAGCUGCCAAAUUAGGCAUUGUGGGUGUACCAUGUGCAGAUGAUUAGGGAGGGUGCAAUACCAAGUGAAGAAUUACACCUUGAGAAGGAAUUUGGAUCGUUGGAGGGAGAAGUUGGUCCCUUGGCAUUUUGAGGUGUAUAGUUAUAUGCCCUUGGCAUUUUAAUGCAAUUGAAAAUGCAUUACGGAAAACACAGAAGUUAUAUUGUGGAGCACCAAUGUAACACGAAAUAUAAAAUUUUCCUUCUACAAUGCAAGGUUUGAACUUUGAACUUAAAAUUCAAAUUUGAGUAUGUGUAAAUUGGAGGAAAAAUGUGAAAACUCAAUCAUUUUUUUUUAUCCACAUGUGCGAAUAUGUAUUUUAAGGUUAAUAUGUUCUGUAGGAUCAGGAAAGUCAAGAAGAAUAAACUAAACAUUUCUUUGCCCAAACACGUAGUUAUAAGAACUUGGAAACAAUGU
rnacentral:sRNA from 1 species